rnacentral:snoRNA from 1 species
GCAGACUCACUCUGUUCCUGGCUGCUGCCUUCAGCCUGGAACUUUUUCUGUCUGCUACAAUGACCUGCAGGAGCUGACGUUUCAAUGGCUUUUAAUUAAUAUUAUUUUAAUUUAAAAAGUCUGUCGUCGGCUCUCUGCUACAUUA